UACGAAGGGGGCUAGCGUUGUUCGGAAUCACUGGGCGUAAAGGCGCGUAGGCGGCCAUUCAAGUCAGAGGUGAAAGCCCAAGGCUCAACCUUGGAACUGCCUUUGAUACUGUUUGGCUUGAGACCGGUAGAGGUAAGUGGAACUGCGAGUGUAGAGGUGAAAUUCGUAGAUAUUCGCAAGAACACCAGUGGCGAAGGCGGCUUACUGGACCGGUUCUGACGCUGAGGCGCGAAAGCGUGGGAGCAACAGG
rnacentral:rRNA from 1 species